rnacentral:rRNA from 1 species
AGCGAACGCUGGCGGCAGGCCUAAUACAUGCAAGUCGAGCGCACCUUCGGGUGAGCGGCGGACGGGUGAGUAACGCGUGGGAACGUGCCCUUUGGUACGGGAUAACUGAGGGAAACUUCAGCUAAUACCGUAUGUGCCCUACGGGGGAAAGAUUUAUCGCCAUUGGAGCGGCCCGCGUUGGAUUAGGUAGUUGGUGGGGUAAAGGCCCACCAAGCCGACGAUCCAUAGCUGGUCUGAGAGGAUGAUCAGCCACACUGGGACUGAGACACGGCCCAGACUCCUACGGGAGGCAGCAGUAGGGAAUCUUGCGCAAUGGGCGAAAGCCUGACGCAGCCAUGCCGCGUGAAUGAUGAAGGUCUUAGGAUUGUAAAAUUCUUUCACCGGGGAAGAUAAUGACGGUACCCGGAGAAGAAGCCCCGGCUAACUUCGUGCCAGCAGCCGCGGUAAUACGAAGGGGGCUAGCAUUGCUCGGAAUUACUGGGCGUAAAGGGCGCGUAGGCGGAUGUUUAAGUCGGGGGUGAAAGCCCGGGGCUCAACCUCGGAAUUGCCUUCGAUACUGGACAUCUUGAGUACGGGAGAGGUGAGUGGAACUCCGAGUGUAGAGGUGAAAUUCGUAGAUAUUCGGAAGAACACCAGUGGCGAAGGCGACUCACUGGCCCGUUACUGACGCUGAGGCGCGAAAGCGUGGGGAGCAAACAGG